UUAAUUGAAGAGUUUGAUCAUGGCUCAGAUUGAACGCUGGCGGCAGGCCUAACACAUGCAAGUCGAGCGGCAGCACAGAGGAACUUGUUCCUUGGGUGGCGAGCGGCGGACGGGUGAGUAAUGCCUGGGAAAUUGCCCGGUAGAGGGGGGAUAACCAUUGGAAACGAUGGCUAAUACCGCAUAACCUCGCAAGAGCAAAGCAGGGGACCUUCGGGCCUUGCGCUACCGGAUAUGCCCAGGUGGGAUUAG
rnacentral:rRNA from 1 species